rnacentral:lncRNA from 1 species
UCCAUCCAGCUGCUCACAAUAUCGACAGUGGGGAGGCUUUGGGAGUCAACACAGACACACUGUGCCCUGCAGUACCGGUGGAAGACAUGCGGGAUUUCUAAGGCAACGGCUGCGUCUCUUCUGUUUUGAAGUGUCGUCAGUUUUCCUCUCAAACUGGAACAACAAUGGUACAGCUGCAGAAGAAAACUCCACCCAGAAGGAUGACUUCUUGAGAGACUGCUGACUUGAUUCUAGGUCAUCAUGUGUAAGCAGAUGAGUGAGGUGCAGCCCACGAGGUGUCACCCCAGCAAAGGCUACAGGAACACAGGUGGUGAGUGAACCUUUGCUGCCCUCCCCUCUCUUCCUUUUCAUCAGUGAAAACUGACUUGCGUUAUCUCACCAUCACACAAAUACACUUACCUCUUCACCUCUAAAGAAAAGCCAAUUAAAAUUAGCAGUCUUGGUAUUAAGAUGGAGGAUAUAAAUAUGCACAGAAAAUAAAAAUUAUAAAUAUUCAAUUAUGCAUCUUGUAAGGGAGAAGAAAGAAAUCUAUAUAGACUAGGUUAACAUAUGUCAUGAAAAAUGGACUAUUGCAAGAAUCUAAUAGCUAUGGAAGAUUUAGCACGUCUUGCCAACAGGGUGAACGGAUCAGAGGUGCUCUUUUCCCAUCUGUUCACUUUUAAAAAAUCGCCGCAGUGUUGCCAUUUCUCUUCCCUUGGUGCUUACCUGCCUUGCUGGCACAC